CCCAUCUCAGUGACAUGACAGACAGAAUUCUCAAUUUUUUCCAGAAUUAUUCUCCUGAGGCCAGAUAUGAAUUCAUGCCUGUGUCUUUUGAAACAGAACAACAGUCUGGCCAACUGCCUUCACCAUCAGUUUGUGAACAGGUAUCACAAGUGAUUUCAGCUCAACCAGAACCAGGAACAAAUGCUGGAGCCAAAGUAAAUCUUGUUGGCUCAGGAGCUAAAAACCAGGAUAGGAUAGAUAAAAUAAAUAAGCACAGGAGAAGAAAAUUAAUGCGUAAAACCACAGACAUUUUAAAACAAUGCGGAGGACCUAAGGACACACCUGUCAUAAGAAAACAGAAAAAAAGGGAAUAUGAGAUAAAGAGGUAUGUAAGAUGUUUGCAGUACCGGACAAAUAAAAAACAAGUACUUAAGGAAAAAUACAAACAGGAUUCUCCCUUCAGAAACAAAAAGAAAGACUAUAUGGCCAGACGGUACAAAAUAGAUGAGGUUGUUCAGAAAAAGAAAGAAAACAUUAUGAGGAGGUACAACACAGAUGCUCUUGUGCAGUCAAAGAAGAAAGAGUACUUGCUGAGGAGAUAUGCAGGUGACGCAGAGUUCAGAGCACAUCACAUCCUGAGAUGUACCCUGCGCAAGACACAGAAAUGUGUUGGUGAUGCUACGUAUCAUGUUCUUCAUCGGUUGCAAUGCGCACUCAGGAUCAAAAAUAAAUACAAACCGUACAUCCGUUAUAACCAGGAGACACCCCAGCCUUUGGUUAGCAAAGCGAUGGAAACCGCCAUAGAUGCGUUCCGUUGUAAAAUUCGGCAAGGCCCUACACAUGUCUGCACGGUCUGUCACAGAGCCCUGUUUCCUGAUCAAGUCAAGGUCUGUAAUAGAACGAGUUACAAUAAAAAUGCUAAUGUUUCAGCAUCUUGCUUAAUUGGGAAAUAUGUUCAUGCUUGUGAUAGUGCCUGCUCAGGUUCCGGAGGAGAGAAGACAGGAGUGGAUUUGCCACACGUGUGAC
rnacentral:lncRNA from 1 species